AUUAAGUCUAAAAUAAAUCUAAAAGGGAUGAGAAAAUAAGUAAUACCUCAAGGAUAAUCUGAUUACCCUGUAGAUGAUCUCAGUACAAUCCGAGAUUCUGAUGUAGCCACGCAAGCGCCUGGCCUCUAUCAAUAUCCACUCAGGUAGGACCUAGAACAUCUUCUCCUUGCAAAUCUACACUCCAAAAAUUAGAUUUCUAUCUAAUUUGAAAAUACUUCAGAACUCCUUCUGAAGUUGGAGCAGCAGCCUGUCGAAGAUGUCCUGCAGCCUUCCUGUUCCAGGCAUCACCAUGCCUUGGAUCUUUGCCAGAUGGAUGUCCAACUCUUUGAACAUGAAGAGGGUA
rnacentral:lncRNA from 1 species